UACGUAGGGGGCAAGCGUUGUCCGGAUUUAUUGGGCGUAAAGAGCGUGUAGGCGGCCAGAAAGGUCGGUUGUGAAAACUCGAGGCUCAACCUCGAGACGUCGACGGAAACCGUCUGGCUAGAGUCCGGAAGAGGAGUGUGGAAUUCCUGGUGUAGCGGUGAAAUGCGCAGAUAUCAGGAAGAACACCUAUGGCGAAGGCAGCACUCUGGGACGGUACUGACGCUGAGACGCGAAAGCGUGGGGAGCGAACAGG
rnacentral:rRNA from 1 species